rnacentral:rRNA from 1 species
UACGUAGGGGGCAAGCGUUGUCCGGAUUUAUUGGGCGUAAAGAGCGUGUAGGCGGCCAUACAGGUCAGCUGUGAAAACUCGAGGCUCAACCUCGAGACGCCGGUUGAAACCAUCUGGCUAGAGUCCGGAAGAGGAGAGUGGAAUUCCUGGUGUAGCGGUGAAAUGCGCAGAUAUCAGGAGGAACACCGAUGGCGAAGGCAGGUCUCUGGGCCACUACUGACGCUGAGAAGCGAAAGCAUGGGGAGCGAACAGG